GCUACGACGAGUUGACGGUGGAUGCCUUGGCGCUAGGAGCCGAUGAAGGACGUGGCAGGCUGCGAUAAGCCCCGGUGAGCUGUCAAGCGAGCGUCGACCCGGGGAUGUCCGAAUCGGGAAACCGGACUGGGGUCAUGCCCAGUCACUCCGGCCUGAACACAUAGGGCCGGGAGAGGGAACCGGGGGAAUUGAAACAUCUCAGUACCCCGAGGAACAGAAAGCAACAGCGAUUCCCUGAGUAGCGGCGAGCGAAACGGGAACAGCCUAAACCAAUGUGGUGUGAGAGCCCGACGGCGUUGCCACAUUGGGGUCGAGGGACCCGCCAGACGGUGCGUCGGAGCCGUCAGGGAGUAAGAAAUCCACGUGAUAGGCGAAUCCCGCUGGAAAGCGGAGCCACAGGAGGUAACAGCCCCGUAGCCGAAAUCACGAUGGACUCCCGGUGGCGUUCCCAAGUAGCACGGGGCCCGUGAAAUCCCGUGUGAAUCUGCGAGGACCACCUCGUAAGGCUAAAUACUCCCUAGCGACCGAUAGCGGACUAGUACCGUGAGGGAAAGGUGAAAAGUACCCCGGUGAGGGGAGUGAAAGAGUACCUGAAACCGUCAACUUACAAGCAGUCGGAGGGAUCCUUCGGGAUCCUGACGGCCUGCCUUUUGAAGAAUGAGCCGACGAGUCAUCGGUAUGUGGCAAGGUUAAGCCGAGAGGUGGAGCCGCAGCGAAAGCGAGUCUGAACAGGGCGUCAAGUCGCAUGCCAUGGACCCGAAGCCGAGUGAUCUAUCCAUGGGCAGGGUGAAGCGAGGGUAAGACCUCGUGGAGGCCCGAACCCACCUAGGUUGAAAACUGGGGGGAUGACCUGUGGAUAGGGGUGAAAGGCCAAGCAAACUCGGCGAUAGCUGGUUCUCCCCGAAAUAGCUUUAGGGCUAGCGUCGUGCGUUCCGCGUUGGGGGUAGAGCACUGAUUGGGCUAGGGGGCCAACAAGCUUACCGACCCCAGUCAAACUCCGAAUCUCAACGCGCCAAGCACGGCAGUCAGACCAUGGGGGAUAAGCUUCAUGGUCGAAAGGGAAACAGCCCAGACCGCCAGCUAAGGCCCCCAAGUCGGGACUCAGUGGAGAACGAAGUGGGGUCGCCCAAACAGCCAGGAGGUUGGCUUAGAAGCAGCCACCCUUUAAAGAGUGCGUAACAGCUCACUGGUCGAGUGAUCCCGCGCGGAUGAUGUAACGGGGCUAAGUUCCGCGCCGAAGCUGCGGGAUUCUGUCGCAACCCAGGCCUUCGUGGUCCAGGGGACAGGAUCGGUAGGGGAGCGUCGAACGGCCAACGAAGCCGCGGCGAAAGCCAGCGGUGGAGGCCGUUCGAGUGAGAAUGUCGGCAUGAGUAGCGAAUGAGGAGUGAGAAUCUCCUCCGCCGGAAGUCCAAGGGUUCCUGGGGAAGGCUCGUCCGCCCAGGGUUAGUCGGGACCUAAGGCGAGGCCGAGAGGCGUAGUCGAUGGACAACGGGUUGAUAUUCCCGUACCACUAUGCGCGCGUCCCGGCCGAACCCAGCUUGCUAAGGAAAGCCCUACGGGGCCUACCGACCCAGCUGGUAGUAGGCCAGCAAAGGAGUGACGCGGAAGGGUAAGCGGACCCGGGCGUUGGUUGACCCGGGGUAAGCGUGUAGGGCGGGGCCUAGGCAAAUCCGGGCCCCAUCAACAGCCUGAGGCGCGAUGCCGAGCCGCGAUAGGCGAAGCCGCUGAACGCCCAUGCCGCCGAGAAAAGCUUCUCGCGAGUGCGCAUGGUGCCCGUACCCCAAACCGACACAGGUGGACAGGUAGAGAAUACCAAGGCGAGCGAGAUAACUCUGGUUAAGGAAUUCGGCAAAAUGGCUCCGUAACUUCGGGAGAAGGAGCGCCCCGGUAGGGUUGAGGACUUCGCGUCCAACGCCCGAGGGGGCCGCAGAGACCAGGCCCAAGCGACUGUUUACUAAAAACACAGGAGCGUGCGAAGUCGCAAGACGAUGUAUACGCUCUGACGCCUGCCCGGUGCCGGAAGGUCAAGGGGAUGGGUCAGCCCUUCGGGGCGAAGCUCUGAACCUAAGCCCCGGUAAACGGCGGCGGUAACUAUAACCGUCCUAAGGUAGACGGCCCACGACGCCACGUGGGCCACUGCCCCUCCGCGCGGUGACGCGCGAGAGUGCAGUCAGCUAUAUGCUGGAAACUCCGAGUAUCCGUCGGUACUCGUUCAUGUCGUAGGUGCCACAUAGGGUGACCGGCAUGAGCAGUGACAAUCCGUGCGGUGCGGACAAUCAGCAGGAAAGGCCAGGGAUCGAGCAGUGGAUCGUCGGCUUCGUCGACGGUGAGGGUUGUUUCUCGAUAUCGGUGGUACGCAACGCGGGGCGCAGGCUCGGCUGGCAGGUCCAGCACGAGUUCGCGGUCACGCAGGCUGCGUCCUCACGAGGCGCGCUCGAGGUGCUGGGACGGUACUUCGAGUGCGGCCGGAUCAUCGAGAACGUCCGAAGGGACGACCACCGGGAACCGCGGUAGCGGUACUCGGUGAAGGCCCGGAGGGACCUUGCCGAACGGAUCAUUCCGUUCUUCGAGGCGAAUCCACUGGUGACCGCGAAACGGAACGACUUCCGGUCGUUCCGACGGGUGGUCGCGAUGAUGCGACGAGGCGAGCACCUCUCGAGAGAGGGACUGGUCGCGAUCGCACGCAUCACCGAGGCCACGAACCGCAAGACGCGGUCUCGGUUCCUGGAAUCCUCAGAGGCCAUACGCUGACCACCUCGGUUCGACGACCGAGAUGAAGAUAUGGUCCGAGCCUCAUGGCGACAUGGGGACCAACUCGAGCGAAAUUCCUUGUCGGGUAAGUUCCGACCUGCACGAAUGGCGCAACGACUUGGGCGCUGUCUCAACCAGAGACUCGGCGAAAUUGCAUUGUGAGUAAAGAUGCUCACUACUCGCGACAGGACGGAAAGACCCCGGGACCUUUACUGCAGCUUGGUAUUGGAGUCUGUUAUGUGAUGUGU
rnacentral:rRNA from 1 species